rnacentral:rRNA from 1 species
AGCAGCCGCGGUAAUUCCAGCUCCAAUAGCGUAUAUUUAAGUUGUUGCAGUUAAAAAGCUCGUAGUUGAAUUUCGGGGUUCUACCGUCGGUCGGGCUACCAAGUCUGUACUGGUGUGUAGAACUUCUACCUUCUGGGGAACCAUCAUGUUAUUAAUUUAGCGUGGUGGGAAACCAGGACCUUUACCUUGAAAAAAUUAGAGUGUUCAAAGCAGGCUUAUGUCUGAAUACAUUAGCAUGGAAUAAUAGAAUAGGACGGUGGUCCUGUUUUGUUGGUUUCUGAAUCACCGUAAUGAUUAAUAGGGAUAGUUGGGGGCAUUAGUAUUCAAUUGUCAGAGGUGAAAUUCUCGGAUUCGCUGAAGACUAACUGAUGCGAAAGCAUUCACCAAGGAUGUCCUCUUUCAUCAAGAACGAAAGUUGGGGGAUCGAAGACGAUCAGAUACCGUCGUAGUCUCAACCAUCAACUAUACCGACUAGGGAUGGGUCCACGUUGUUUUAUCAUCGACUUCAUCCGCACCUUGUGAGAAACCAAAGUGUUU